rnacentral:tRNA from 1 species
UAUAAUUUGGCAGAAUAUAUGCGUUUGAUUUAGGUUCAAAAUAUAACUUUAUGUUAAUUAU